rnacentral:rRNA from 1 species
GGGUCAGUAGGUUGGUCGUGCCACCGGUACGUACUGGUCUCACUGAUUCCUCCUUCCUGAAGAACCGUGAUGCCGUUAAUUUGGUGUUGCGGGGAAACAGGACUGUUACUUUGAAAAAAUUAGAGUGCUUAAAGCAAGCUAACGCUUGAAUACAUUAGCAUGGAAUAAUGAAAUAGGACGAUCGAUCCUAUUUUGUUGGUUUCUAGGAUUGACGUA